UUUAAUAUCUAUAUUAAUAUAAUAUCAAGUUUUGAAAUUAAGCUAUGUACACAGUCCAACAGUCUAGUACAAACAAUCAUAAUGUGCUGAUAAACUAAUUUCCAGCGUAACAAUCACAAUAUUUCAGUUCCAAACAGUCAUAUUAAUACAAAGGCAACUGUUCAAAUACACAAGACUGUUGAACCUAUAGACUAAGUAAAAUCAACAGAAAAUUCAUGAAGAAAACAAAUUAUUUAUCUUCAAAUAUGUUGUUCAGGCCAUUAUCUAUUACUUGAGACAAAAAGUAUACCUGGAAUAGGAAUAAAAUAAGAAGAAAUAGAAGUUAGCAACAACAAGCAAUAAUCAGCAGCAAUAAGUAAUAAUCCACAGCAACUUUGAAUUAAUUUCGAGCCAUAAAUGAUACCAAACGAACCAAGAGUUAAUUCCAAAUGAAUGACACCAAUAACACCCAAAACCAACUCAAAUAAGCUCAAUUGAACUCGAAGAUGACUCCAGGAACUUUUGAAGCUUCAACUAGUGAAUCACCAGGACAGAUUAUACCAUUUCUCAGCCUUAUAUAAGUUAAAAAAUUUAAUUUAGAGAUGAGAGCCUUCAGACUACCCUAAAAAUCUUAAUGAAAUAGUGAUUUUGGACUUUUUGUUGUCUCCCACUCUCAGAGCUUUUGGUGUACUCUUCUG
rnacentral:lncRNA from 1 species